GGAAGGAUCAUUAUUGAAUAAACUUGCACAGGCUGUUGCUGGCCUUCUUUCGGGAGGGUAUGUGCACGCUUGUCAUCUUUAUCUCUCCAACUGUGCACAUAUUGUAGACCUGGUUGAUUCAUUUCGAGUUGGGACUGCUGUGCUUUGUAAAUCAGAGUCGGCUUUCCCUUUUCAUUUCCAGGUCUAUGUCAUUUUCACAAACUCUUGAAUGCGUUUAGAAUGUUGAAUCCAGGUGCUUUUGUACCUAUAAAGUUAAAUAUACAACUUUCAGCAAC
rnacentral:misc_RNA from 1 species